AUCCUUUUGUAGUUCAUAAACGUGAUGAUUUGGUUUUCACACCCAUGUGUGAGAUGUGCCUCCCUCAAACCUUGUUACGUCACCGGCUCAUUACCUGUCUGACG
rnacentral:snoRNA from 1 species